CGUGAUAGCUCAGUUGGGAGAGCGUGAGACUGAAGAUCUCAAGGUCAUGUGAUCGAUCCACAUU
rnacentral:tRNA from 1 species